rnacentral:rRNA from 1 species
CAGGCCUAACACAUGCAAGUCGAGCGGUAGAGAGAAGCUUGCUUCUCUUGAGAGCGGCGGACGGGUGAGUAAUGCCUAGGAAUCUGCCUGGUAGUGGGGGAUAACGUUCGGAAACGGACGCUAAUACCGCAUACGUCCUACGGGAGAAAGCAGGGGACCUUCGGGCCUUGCGCUAUCAGAUGAGCCUAGGUCGGAUUAGCUAGUUGGUGGGGU